UAGGGAAUCUUCCACAAUGGACGCAAGUCUGAUGGAGCAACGCCGCGUGAGUGAAGAAGGUUUUCGGACCGUAAAGCUCUGUUGUUGGUGAAGAAGGAUAGAGGUAGUAACUGGCCUUUUAUUUGACGGUAAUCAACCAGAAAGUCACGGCUAACUACGUGCCAGCAGCCGCGGUAAUACGUAGGUGGCAAGCGUUGUCCGGAUUUAUUGGGCGUAAAGCGAGCGCAGGCGGAAGAAUAAGUCUGAUGUGAAAGCCCUCGGCUUAACCGAGGAAUUGCAUCGGAAACUGUUUUCUUGAGUGCAGAAGAGGAGAGUAGAACUCCAUGUGUAGCGGUGGAAUGCGUAGAUAUAUGGAAGAAUACCAGUGGCGAAGGCGGCUCUCUGGUCUGCAACUGACGCUGAGGCUCGAAAGCAUGGGUAGCGAACAGGAUUAGAUACCCUUGGUAGUCCAUGCCGUAAACGAUGAG
rnacentral:rRNA from 1 species